ensembl:lncRNA
UUCGCGCUUUCGUCUCAUUGUUUUGUUGCCGAGGGGCAGUAAACACAGGAGCCUCAGAUGAUUCGGUUUGGUGCAGAGCAGGUGAACCCGCUCGGCGGAGCCACGCCGCGUGUCAACACUUUGCAGAGAGAUGAUCAAUAUACUGCUCAUGCUGGGCUGGUUCCCCACGUCCCAACGCCGCAGCACCGGAGCCGCGUUUGAGGCUGAGUCACGACGACGCUUUUCUUUUGAGCUCCUCUUUCUGCAGCCGAAUCGUCCAAAACCAGCCCUAAUCGCGAGUUCCUGUGACAGAACAGCCUCGCUCUCGUCGAUGCUCCGCUGGAUUCACCACGCGGGGAUGCUGGCGGCUCGCUCCCCCCCGGAGGCCGGCUGCGUCACCUGCAUUGCUGCCCCCAGGGAGACUUCACCUCCGGCACAACAGGGGUCUGGCACCAAGCGCAAACAAACCCAACCUGGUUCAGCUUUCGCCUCGUCCAGGAGGCGCAUGCGCACACGGUGGGCGGGUGUCAGGACAGAGGCUGCAGCUUCUAGCAUGUACAGGAGGCUGAGGACGAAGGAGAGGAGAACCGGCCGUCUGUAAACAUCAUGUUCGUGUCUAGUUGCAAGUAAACGGAAGCAGAGAACGUCUUUGUUAGACAAACACUUACAGCAUCUGCGGAUGCUCCUGCCAGGCUGUGUCGCUGCUGCUAGUCACACCUAUUUGUAUGUCAUUCAGCAUCCUCGUAUAAUUAGUUUUGCAUCUCAGUGUUUGGGUCAAACACUUCUCCUCUCGGUGGAAUAGAUUAAUACCCGCGCUAAACAGCGGGGUAAAGAGCAGAGCCAGUAAUCACAGCGUGCCCGGCCCUCCUCACCUCCACGACUACUUCCAGUCCGCGUGACCUCCCGCUGGAGACGGUUCACAGGCCGAGUCUCUCGCCCGCUCUCUCCUCAGGAAACCUAGAGAGAUGAAUCCAAAAAGCUAAAAAGCGCGAGGACAGAGACAGAGACAGAGGGAAUGAAAGGAGCAAAGCAAAGGACUUGGCAGUCGCCCAAGUGGAUCAUUAGCUCUGCUCCACGAAUGCGAUGUAGUGAAAGGUGAAAGCGAUAGUUUGGAAACGAGAGGAGCGCUGGACUGAUACUUAAUCAUUAGCACCACUGCACCAUGGCCGAUAGCAGCUGGGGCUUCAAGGUGGGCUCCCCUGAUGUUCCUGGAACAGAUCGACAAGCUUGUUCUCCACCUCCAAAGGGAGGAGUGUGGCGUGAAGCGAUUAGAAGCACGCUGCCCACUUUGUAACUGUCCGCUGAGCGCGCACGCCUGGCAAGAAAAUAGUUUGCUCAGUUCUCGCCGUUGGCUUGAUUUAUGGGCGCCGCAGAGCGACCGGCGCGGCCGGGGGAAAGUCUGCCCGGCUAAAUGGAGAGCGUGACUUCGCGGCCGCGCGUUUAAAUCCUGCACUUCCACGCGAGCGUCUGCAGGUUUUGGCGGCGGCGCUGCAGCAAACGCCGGAUGCGUCACGGAGGCAGAGCUGGCGUCAGAGCUCCAGUGGCCUGGAUGCGCUGCCGUGGUGGAGGCUUCACGCACACGCAGGGCUGCAAAUAGAGCUGCGUGUGCGAGAAGCGCUGACGUGUGUGGCGGUGACACGCGGCGCGAGCAAAAUAAUGGGCACGGCUUGAGUCAUGUCAGCGGCCCUGACAUGAACGGAUGAAUCCACAAGCAGGAGUCACCUGUAAACCAUGGGUUCUAUUAUGAGAAACCUGAUGACAAGAAACAGACAGACAGUGAGCGGCUCUUUGCUUUAGCUGCUCUCAACAUCCAGGAGGUUUCACUCCCAGAGCCACUUCAGGUUUCCUGUGAUUCAUUAAGGGAAAUAAAACUCCAGCAAGAUGUUCCUGAAUUCA